rnacentral:rRNA from 1 species
AACGCGAAGAACCUUACCUGGGCUUGAACCGCUACUGACCAACGGUGGAAACAUCGUCUUCCCGCAAGGGACAGUAGUAGAGGUGCUGCAUGGCUGUCGUCAGCUCGUGCCGUGAGGUGUUGGGUUAAGUCCCGCAACGAGCGCAACCCUUACCCUUAGUUGCCACCCGCAAGGGGGAACUCUAAGGGGACUGCUCCGGAUAACGGAGAGGAAGGUGGGGAUGACGUCAAGUCAGCACGGCCUUUAUGUCCAGGGCUACACACGUGUUACAAUGCAUGGUACAGACCGUCGCGAACCCGCGAGGGGGAGCUAAUCGGAAAAACCAUGCUCAGUUCGGACUGCAGUCUGCAACUCGACUGCACGAAGCCGGAAUCGCUAGUAAUGCCGUAUCAGAACGACGGCGUGAAUACGUUCCCGGGCCUUGUACACACCGACUGUAC